UACAGAGGUCUCAAGCGUUGUUCGGAUUCAUUGGGCGUAAAGGGUGCGUAGGUGGCGGGGUAAGUCUGGUGUGAAAUCUCGGAGCUCAACUCCGAAACUGCACUGGAUACUGCCUUGCUUGAGUACUGGAGAGGAGAUUGGAAUUUACGGUGUAGCAGUGAAAUGCGUAGAUAUCGUAAGGAAGACCAGUGGCGAAGGCGAAUCUCUGGACAGUUACUGACACUGAGGCACGAAGGCCAGGGGAGCAAACGGG
rnacentral:rRNA from 1 species